AAUAAGAAUCUAUAUAGAUCAAACUUAUUUUGUGAACGUGUCUUACAUUGCCUUUGAGUACUAUGAUGGUUCUUCUCUGCGCCACGAGUACCGAGAUUUUCGAUUCAAAGUAAAAAAUAAUAUUUUUCUUUCUUUACUCUCGAUGUGAGAUAGAAAGAUCUGUCAGAACACGAUAAGGCACAUUAAAUCCACUGAUCUGCCCUUAUAAUAUCUGACGCAUUUACAUUUUGGUAACUUUCCAUAUAGCACCUAGUUUGUUUUUCUUUGAAAAAUGUCAAUUACGCUGGAUUUGCUUAACAAUAAAACUGGAACUAAAUAACGUAUUAAAAAACCGCUUAUAAGGGGUUGUAGAUCUCCUUUCGCUAAUUCCAAAUAUACUCCCGGAUACCCGGAGUAUACCCGACGUAUUAUUUAAUGGGUUUACUCCCGUUCUCCGUCCAACAUCCGCCCAAAACAAUUACUGUCAAAUAAGUAAUACUCGACUAAAGCAAAAGAAUGGGUCCUCUAGACCACCAGCAGCCGCCUACUGACGCCGCGCUGGCGUUACGCCGCCGCCGCGCGGAUGUCGUGUCGACGCUACGCGUACGUUGGCCAGACGAUGACGUCUGAAAGACGCUACAGUGGGGGGCGCUUAUUGUCAAAAAAAAUUGGAAGUGACUCUAUAAUGUACAAUUACUCGUCGGCAUUUCCAUUUUAGAAGCAGUUCAGCCUUUGCGAAUGCCGCAGCCCUCCUACAAGCGGCAAAUCCAUAAUAACGAAAACCGAAAUAUUCUACGUCGUAUCCUUGAGAAUUUAGCAAGUACCAAGUUAUAUCUAACAAACAAUGCUAGAAGAUACAUUUCGCCGUAUGAAAUGAGCCAGUCGAGAAAUAUAUAUGAAGCAAUAGCCAAAAAUAAAGAGAAUGAGGCAAAGCAAAGAGCAGUAGAAAUCUCUACUGACCCAACUAAAAACCCGAAACCAAAUGAUGAUGAAUUCUCAAAACUGGUGGAAAAAGAACUAAAAGUGACUAUCGUCAAAGAAUCGUCAGCUUUAUUGGAUAAAGCCACCAUAGAAAAAAUGGGUCGCAACGAUUUUUUGGUUCUCGAAACCGGCAACGAAGAUCCAUUCGUUACAGUAAUUCCUAACAAUAUAUAUUACAACAUCGAGAAGAUAUGUGCUAACUGGUUAGAUGACUGCAAUUUGAAAGGUAUAAGAGACAGAUUGCUACAUAGAGAGAAUUCCCCGUUCUAAUA